UACGUAGGGUGCGAGCGUUGUCCGGAAUUACUGGGCGUAAAGAGCUCGUAGGUGGUUUGUCGCGUUGUUCGUGAAAACUCACAGCUCAACUGUGGGCGUGCGGGCGAUACGGGCAGACUAGAGUACUGCAGGGGAGACUGGAAUUCCUGGUGUAGCGGUGGAAUGCGCAGAUAUCAGGAGGAACACCGGUGGCGAAGGCGGGUCUCUGGGCAGUAACUGACGCUAAGGAGCGAAAGCGUGGGGAGCGAACAGG
rnacentral:rRNA from 1 species